UUUGGUUAAGUUAGAAAGGGCGCACGGUGGAUGCCUUGACACUAGGAGUCGAUGAAGGACGGGACUAACGCCGAUAUGCUUCGGGGAGCUGUAAGUAAGCUUUGAUCCGAAGAUUUCCGAAUGGGGAAACCCACCAUACGUAAUGGUAUGGUAUCCUUAUCUGAAUACAUAGGGUAAGGAAGACAGACCCAGGGAACUGAAACAUCUAAGUACCUGGAGGAAGAGAAAGCAAAUGCGAUUUCCUGAGUAGCGGCGAGCGAAACGGAACAUAGCCCAAACCAAGAGGCUUGCCUCUUGGGGUUGUAGGACAUUCUAUACGGAGUUACAAAGGAACGAGGUAGACGAAGCGACCUGGAAAGGUCCGUCGUAGAGGGUAACAACCCCGUAGUCGAAACUUCGUUCUCUCUUGAAUGUAUCCUGAGUACGGCGGAACACGUGAAAUUCCGUCGGAAUCUGGGAGGACCAUCUCCCAAGGCUAAAUACUCCCUAGUGAUCGAUAGUGAACCAGUACCGUGAGGGAAAGGUGAAAAGCACCCCGGAA
rnacentral:rRNA from 1 species